rnacentral:rRNA from 1 species
ACUUAAAUUGAAGAGUUUGAUCAUGGCUCAGAUUGAACGCUGGCGGCAGGCCUAACACAUGCAAGUCGAGCGGUAGCACAGAGAGCUUGCUCUCGGGUGACGAGCGGCGGACGGGUGAGUAAUGUCUGGGAAACUGCCUGAUGGAGGGGGAUAACUACUGGAAACGGUAGCUAAUACCGCAUAACGUCGCAAGACCAAAGUGGGGGACCUUCGGGCCUCAUGCCAUCAGAUGUGCCCAGAUGGGAUUAGCUAGUAGGUGGGGUAACGGCUCACCUAGGCGACGAUCCCUAGCUGGUCUGAGAGGAUGACCAGCCACACUGGAACUGAGACACGGUCCAGACUCCUACGGGAGGCAGCAGUGGGGAAUAUUGCACAAUGGGCGCAAGCCUGAUGCAGCCAUGCCGCGUGUGUGAAGAAGGCCUUCGGGUUGUAAAGCACUUUCAGCGGGGAGGAAGGCGAUAAGGUUAAUAACCUUGUCGAUUGACGUUACCCGCAGAAGAAGCACCGGCUAACUCCGUGCCAGCAGCCGCGGUAAUACGGAGGGUGCAAGCGUUAAUCGGAAUUACUGGGCGUAAAGCGCACGCAGGCGGUCUGUCAAGUCGGAUGUGAAAUCCCCGGGCUCAACCUGGGAACUGCAUUCGAAACUGGCAGGCUAGAGUCUUGUAGAGGGGGGUAGAAUUCCAGGUGUAGCGGUGAAAUGCGUAGAGAUCUGGAGGAAUACCGGUGGCGAAGGCGGCCCCCUGGACAAAGACUGACGCUCAGGUGCGAAAGCGUGGGGAGCAAACAGGAUUAGAUACCCUGGUAGUCCACGCCGUAAACGAUGUCGAUUUGGAGGUUGUGCCCUUGAGGCGUGGCUUCCGGAGCUAACGCGUUAAAUCGACCGCCUGGGGAGUACGGCCGCAAGGUUAAAACUCAAAUGAAUUGACGGGGGCCCGCACAAGCGGUGGAGCAUGUGGUUUAAUUCGAUGCAACGCGAAGAACCUUACCUGGUCUUGACAUCCACAGAACUUUCCAGAGAUGGAUUGGUGCCUUCGGGAACUGUGAGACAGGUGCUGCAUGGCUGUCGUCAGCUCGUGUUGUGAAAUGUUGGGUUAAGUCCCGCAACGAGCGCAACCCUUAUCCUUUGUUGCCAGCGGUUCGGCCGGGAACUCAAAGGAGACUGCCAGUGAUAAACUGGAGGAAGGUGGGGAUGACGUCAAGUCAUCAUGGCCCUUACGACCAGGGCUACACACGUGCUACAAUGGCAUAUACAAAGAGAAGCGACCUCGCGAGAGCAAGCGGACCUCAUAAAGUAUGUCGUAGUCCGGAUUGGAGUCUGCAACUCGACUCCAUGAAGUCGGAAUCGCUAGUAAUCGUAGAUCAGAAUGCUACGGUGAAUACGUUCCCGGGCCUUGUACACACCGCCCGUCACACCAUGGGAGUGGGUUGCAAAAGAAGUAGGUAGCUUAACCUUCGGGAGGGCGCUUACCACUUUGUGAUUCAUGACUGGGGUGAAGUCGUAACAAGGUAACCGUAGGGGAACCUGCGGUUGGAUCACCUCCUUACCUUAAAGAA